rnacentral:rRNA from 1 species
GACGAACGCUGGCGGCGUGCUUAACACAUGCAAGUCGAACGGAAAGGCCCUGCUUUUGUUGGGUUCUCUAGUGGCGAACGGAUGAGUAACACGUGAGUAACCUGCCCUUGACUUUGUGAUAACUUCAGGAGACUGGGGCUAAUACAGAAUAUGAGCUCCUGCUACAUGGUUUCGGUUGGAAAGUUUCGGCGGGGGGGGAUGGACUCGCGGCUUAUCAGCUUGUUGGUGGGGUAGUGGCUUACGAAGGCUUUGACGGGUAUCAGCCAUGAGAGGGUGACCGGCAACAUUGGGACAGAGCUACGGCCCAGACUACUACGGGAGGCAGCAGAGGGGAAUAUAGUACGAUGGGCGGAAGCCUGAUGAAGCAACGACGCGCGCGGGAUGAUGGCCUUCGGGUUGUAAACCGGUUUCCCCUGUGACGAAGCGCGAGUGACGGUAAUGGGUAAAGAAGCACCGGCUAACUACGUG